rnacentral:rRNA from 1 species
AGUGAACGCUGGCGGUAGGCCUAACACAUGCAAGUCGAACGGCAGCACAGUAAGAGCUUGCUCUUACGGGUGGCGAGUGGCGGACGGGUGAGGAAUACAUCGGAAUCUACUUUUUCGUGGGGGAUAACGUAGGGAAACUUACGCUAAUACCGCAUACGACCUACGGGUGAAAGCAGGGGAUCUUCGGACCUUGCGCGAUUCAAUGAGCCGAUGUCGGAUUAGCUAGUUGGCGGGGUAAAGGCCCACCAAGGCGACGAUCCGUAGCUGAUCUGAGAGGAUGAUCAGCCACACUGGAACUGAGACACGGUCCAGACUCCUACGGGAGGCAGCAGUGGGGAAUAUUGGACAAUGGGCGCAAGCCUGAUCCAGCCAUACCGCGUGGGUGAAGAAGGCCUUCGGGUUGUAAAGCCCUUUUGUUGGGAAAGAAAAGCAGCAGGUUAAUACCCCGCUGUUCUGACGGUACCCAAAGAAUAAGCACCGGCUAACUUCGUG